rnacentral:rRNA from 1 species
GAGAUCGGGAUAACACCUGGAAACAGAUGCUAAUACCGGAUAACAACAGAUGAUGCCUAUCAACUGUUUAAAAGAUGGUUCUGCUAUCACUCUUGGAUGGACCUGCGGUGCAUUAGCUAGUUGGUAGGGUAACGGCCUACCAAGGCGAUGAUGCAUAGCCGAGUUGAGAGACUGAUCGGCCACAUUGGGACUGAGACACGGCCCAAACUCCUACGGGAGGCAGCAG